UACAGAGGAUGCAAGCGUUAUCCGGAAUGAUUGGGCGUAAAGCGUCUGUAGGUGGCUUUUAAGUCCGCCGUCAAAUCCCAGGGCUCAACUCUGGACAGGCGGUGGAAACUACCAAGCUGGAGUACGGUAGGGCAGAGGGAAUUUCCGGUGGAGCGGUGAAAUGCGUAGAGAUCGGAAGAACACCAACGGCGAAAGCACUCUGCUGGCCGACACUGACACUGAGAGACGAAAGCUAGGGAGCGAAUGGG
rnacentral:rRNA from 1 species